CCUACGGGUGGCAGCAGUGAGGAAUAUUGGUCAAUGGACGCAAGUCUGAACCAGCCAUGCCGCGUGCAGGAAGACGGCUCUAUGAGUUGUAAACUGCUUUUGUACGAGGGUAAACGCAGAUACGCGUAUCUGUCUGAAAGUAUCGUACGAAUAAGGAUCGGCUAACUCCGUGCCAGCAGCCGCGGUAAUACGGAGGAUUCAAGCGUUAUCCGGAUUUAUUGGGUUUAAAGGGUGCGUAGGCGGUCGGAUAAGUUAGAGGUGAAAGCCCGAGGCUCAACUUCGGAAUUGCCUCUGAUACUGUUCGGCUAGAGAGUAGUUGCGGUAGGCGGAAUGUAUGGUGUAGCGGUGAAAUGCUUAGAGAUCAGACGGAACACCGGUUGCGAAGGCAGCUUACCAAGCUACUACUGACGUUGAGGCACGAAAGCGUGGGGAGCAAACAGGAUUAGAUACCCUUGUAGUC
rnacentral:rRNA from 1 species